rnacentral:rRNA from 1 species
UACGUAGGAUGCAAGCGUUGUCCGGAAUUAUUGGGCGUAAAGAGCGCGCAGGCGGUAUGACAAGUCAGAUGUGAAAGAGGCCGGCUUAACCGGCAAGGGUCAUUUGAAACUGUCAGACUAGAGUGCAGCAGAGGAUAGUGGAAUUCCCGGUGUAGUGGUGAAAUUCGUAGAUAUUCGGAGGAACACCAGUGGCGAAGGCGGCUCACUGGUCCGGUACUGACGCUGAGGUGCGAAAGCGUGGGGAGCAAACAGG